AUGUCAGACUUCUUGGCAUGGAGCUUGACAAAGACAGGGGGUUUCUCGGUAAGAUCUGCAUAUCAUGUUGUUUGGGAGGCCCAGUUUGGUCACCAUCUGCAGGCUGGCUGUAGCUCAUCAGCGCCUAAACCCACUUGGAAAUCUCUUUGGGGGCUGAAUUGUCCUGCAAAAAUUAAAAAUUUUGUUUGGAGAGUGAUCCACAGCGCUAUUCCAUGCCGGGCGUUAUUGGCGGAUAGACAUAUCAAGAUAAAAGCCUAUUGUCCUUCUUGCAACCUAGGCCCUGAGACCAUUCGACACUUGUUGUUUGAGUGCCCAGUCGCCACCGAGGUUUGGAAGCUGCUUGGAUUGCAUGAGGUAACCACUAAAGCCCUGGUUUUGGACAGAUCUGGGGAAGUAACUUUAGAAUUCCUUCUCAAUCUUUCGGAUAAUCAUAUCCAUGUGUUGGGACUCCCCAAAUUCAGAGAAACAAUUGCCACUUGCUGCUGGUUUUUGUGGUGGGAAAGA
rnacentral:rRNA from 1 species